GCACCACCAGGCGUGAAGCCUGCGGUUUAAUUGGAGUCAACGCCGGGAAUCUUACCGGGAGCGACAGCAGAAUGAAGGCCAGGUUGAAGGUCUUGCUGGACGAGCUGAGAGGUGGUGCAUGGCCGUCGCCAGUUCGUGCCGUGAGGUGUCCUCUUAAGUGAGGUAACGAACGAGACCCGUGCCCCAUGUUGCUAACAGUAUCUAAAGGAUAGCUGAGCACUCUUGGGGGACCGCAGCCGACAAGGCUGAGGAAGGUGCGGGCCACGGCAGGUCAGUAUGCCCCGAAUCUCCCGGGCCACACGCGGGCUGCAAUGGUAGUGACAGAGGGCUGCGACCCCGAGAGGGGGAGCCAAUCCCUAAACACUAUCUCAGUUGGGAUCGAGGGCUGCAACCCGCCCUCGUGAACAUGGAAUGCCUAGUAACCGCCGGUCAUCAUCCGGCGGUGAAUACGUCCCUGCUCCUUGCACACACUGCCCGUCGAACCACCCGAAUGAGGUUUUGAUGAGGCAUGGUCGAAAGUUGGCCGUGUCGAAUCUGGGCCUUGUAAGGAGGGUU
rnacentral:rRNA from 1 species